GUACCCUCCAGCCUUGCUGGGUGUUGGGUGUUUGUUCCGCUGCACGCGUGAACUCGCCUUAAAUACAUUGGCAGCCAGCCGUCCCGUGUGGGAGCGCAGCACAUUUUGCGCUCUCCGCUGUGUACGGCGGCGUCCACAAGCCUAUACCUUUAC
rnacentral:misc_RNA from 1 species